rnacentral:rRNA from 1 species
UGGAUCCAGACUUUGAUCAUGGCUCAGGACGAACGCUGGCGGCGUGCCUAAUACAUGCAAGUCGAGCGAGCUUGCCUAGAUGAUUUUAGUGCUAGCACUAAAUGAAACUAGAUACAAGCGAGCGGCGGACGGGUGAGUAACACGUGGGUAACCUGCCCAAGAGACUGGGAUAACACCUGGAAACAGAUGCUAAUACCGGAUAACAACACUAGACGCAUGUCUAGAGUUUGAAAGAUGGUUCUGCUAUCACUCUUGGAUGGACCUGCGGUGCAUUAGCUAGUUGGUAAGGUAACGGCUUACCAAGGCAAUGAUGCAUAGCCGAGUUGAGAGACUGAUCGGCCACAUUGGGACUGAGACACGGCCCAAACUCCUACGGGAGGCAGCAGUAGGGAAUCUUCCACAAUGGACGAAAGUCUGAUGGAGCAACGCCGCGUGAGUGAAGAAGGGUUUCGGCUCGUAAAGCUCUGUUGGUAGUGAAGAAAGAUAGAGGUAGUAACUGGCCUUUAUUUGACGGUAAUUACUUAGAAAGUCACGGCUAACUACGUGCCAGCAGCCGCGGUAAUACGUAGGUGGCAAGCGUUGUCCGGAUUUAUUGGGCGUAAAGCGAGUGCAGGCGGUUCAAUAAGUCUGAUGUGAAAGCCUUCGGCUCAACCGGAGAAUUGCAUCAGAAACUGUUGAACUUGAGUGCAGAAGAGGAGAGUGGAACUCCAUGUGUAGCGGUGGAAUGCGUAGAUAUAUGGAAGAACACCAGUGGCGAAGGCGGCUCUCUGGUCUGCAACUGACGCUGAGGCUCGAAAGCAUGGGUAGCGAACAGGAUUAGAUACCCUGGUAGUCCAUGCCGUAGACGAUGAGUGCUAAGUGUUGGGAGGUUUCCGCCUCUCAGUGCUGCAGCUAACGCAUUAAGCACUCCGCCUGGGGAGUACGACCGCAAGGUUGCA